UUGGUAUUACUUUCCUCCUUGUUUCAGACUGCUCAAAUAACAAUAGCAGCAGAGUGGAAGUGCCCGUUGUGCCAAAAACAAUAAAGUGGAUACACAGAGACUGAUUAUUCUUGGCAACAAAUAGGCUGUAAUAUGAAGUAUUUUUAGAUUUGGAUUCCUUUCAUUGGAUGUGCAAAGGAUAAAACUCCUUGGAGCAAGUUCCCAGUCUUCUCAUCCCCUUUCUGGAAAAGUGCAAUUCUUGGAAGUAAGGUGAUCCAGGUUGGAGAGCUCCUUCCUGCCUGGCUCAGAGGGCUGGAUAAUUUCAGUUUUCCAGUUGACAACUUCCCUGGAAAAUGCUCUGAGCAGCAGCUGACCACAAUGUUCUUCUGAAGUCUUCC
rnacentral:lncRNA from 1 species